GAACCCCAGGUGGUCAAAAUUGGCCCGUUAGUGCCCCUGCUACGGCAUGUCUCAAAGUAAGAUCGCGUCGUUCGGGCACGCUAUAGAAUUUCAUUUUUUUUUUCCAAGAGAGACGAUGCGGCAGGAGCAGAUGACUGCGCGUACAGACAACUCGACACAUGUCGCGGCGCGCGCUCACGAGUUGCAAGUCAUGCUCGCUGCCGGAGCCCAACGCGAAUGCGAAGGUGGCCACGGAACCGCGAAGAUUGCGUCCACGGAUUAUAAUAUCCAUAAAACUACGGCGACAACGCUAACGCCAUUCCAUGUCCAAGAACACAGUGGAAGCAUGUGGAAGCUUCUAGAACAUUCCGCGGUCGGCAGCUGUACGCAGGCUGCAACUUUUUUUUUUUUAUUCCUUUGUCUUUACCAUCACCCGCACGCCGAUCACGAUGAUAACGGCGACUAGCGUGCCGCCGUUAUCACGACGUAGUUCGACAUUAGACCAAUGAGAGAAGAAAAGAAAUGGCCCGGGCGUAUCAACGCAUGCGCCGAAGAGCUUGGCACCGCGGUCGUUGUGGACAUGUAGCGAGCAUCCGGGGGCUUGGGCCGCCAUUUUGUAUUUUCCGUCUGCUUCGGCGUGCGUCGUGUCUGCUGCCUUCUGCGUCGCACCAUACCUUGAGCUCCUGCUGGUCUUAACUGCGCGCUAACAGUGGCAGCGCUUGUCGAAGUUACACGCUGCGCAUGUUCCCGCCUUCGGCCGACUUUGGAAGCACUGACUUCAUGUACCGGACCUGAAAAACGUGAGGCACUCCUCGAGAGACUUGUUGCCCGACCAGCCUGCCUUCUCCGUCUCGGCAAUUCCUGGCCCCGCUUUCGAGCUCCCGGAGUGUAAGUGACCGCCAGCCGGCAUAACUACGUUACUAAACGCCGACGACACUCCGGUCGAGCCGCCACAGCGUAUAUGAGCCGCAAGUAGUUACUGCCGAGUACUCGUUCUUUUGUUUGUGCGCGUUUCCACCCCCCAACGGCGCCGGGACUAUUGAACUGUGGAUGAACUCUGAGCGUGGCUACUGACCCCAGGACCUGCGCGGCAACCACUCGUCACGGCGAGCGUCGUCUCUACGAGCUUCGCAUCGAGCGUCCUAAACGCUCAAAAGGCCUGUGUGUGCACUUUGUGCAUUUAUUUCUAGAUGGUCUAGCUGGCGAGGGUGGCGCAUGCCUUAGAGAAGUUAACUGUUUGUUCAGUUGCACUAGCUAGCGCUCACUAGGGUUGUAUAGCUGCACUACAAAAUUCUGUAAGGUUAGUGUUGUUGCUUAGCUGUAAGCCCGAGGUUUCGUGGGCAUGGCUUGCGGCCACACGGGUCUUCUCCGUGCCGGAAUCGAAGAGGACGGGCCACGUGUUGCGGGGUGGCGGUGUAUAGCUUCAGGUUUUAGCUGACACAGAGGGUUAGCUAACACUACGCAGGCAACAGCUGAUAGCCGUCCUCUUACGACUGCGUCAGGGACAUGGACCCAUCCGAACGGCCUUGCGACCCGACCCCACUAUUUCGUGACGUAGAUAGCCCGCGCGCGUGAGUGCGCGUGCUAUCGAGCGAAAUGUGGGAAUGACGGAAGCAAACGGCCUUCGGACAUAACCUCGCCAGCUAUUAGGCACUAACCCGCUCUACGCAGUACCUCGACGCCGGACGUCGCCUGCUGUUCUCGUCGGAGCUGGGCCGCGCAGCAGCUACAAGCAUCACUCGCACCGCGCCCGGUCUACCGUGUUCCCUCGUCGGAGUGGCCUCGUGGCCCUGCACCGGGAUCCCGAGGUCCGCUUUCGAGAUUGCGGACCACGAGUCGGAAGGAUAUCCAGUGUGCUGCUCCACGUUUGCCAUACUCCCAACGUCCCCCACCGGAGAUGGCCUUGAGCACCUCUUACCGUGGCUGACUGCGUUGGCCCCUUUGCAUUUCCACGUUCAUGGCGUCCUUCUGCUCCGGGGAACUUCGUUUGCUACUACUGCCCACGUGUAAGAUGGAUAUCCAGUGCGCUGCUCCACGUUUGCCAUCCUCCCGACGUCCCCCUCAGGAGGUGGCCUAGAGCACCGCUCGUACCGUGACCGACCGUUCCCCUUCGCCGGUGCCGUCUCGCCGGCAGACGAGAUCGCUCGUCGCCCUUCUUAGCUGCGGGAUCCCGACGUCUGCGUUCGAUUGAAGCCCAUAAGUUAUCCAGUAGGCUGCUCCCCGUUUGCCAUCCUCCCAAAGUCCCCUUCGGGAGUGACCUAGAGCGCCACUCGUAAUCUGGCCGACGGUGUUUUGUUAAAUUACCUUCCCUCACCCAUGGCGUCCUGCUGGCAGUCGGAACCUUGCUCCUCGCCCGCCUCUACUAAUGACCGUUUUGGAUGGCGGUGAGCGAGGAGAACGUCCAAGGCAGUUUUGCCAAAAGAUCAGAUGCUUCUGAGCAACCAUCCUUCUACGGCUGUGGCCGUUUGCACAUCGGCCGGCAACUGGACGUCCAAGUCUGAGCGUGGCCACUAACUCCAGGGCCUGCGCGGCAACCCCUCGUCACGGCGAGCGUCGUCUCUGCGAGCUUCGCAUCGAGCGUCCUAAACGCUCAUCAGGUGGUCAUUGUGCAUAUUCUAGAUGGUCUAGCUGGCGAGGGUGGCGCACGCCUUAGGGAAGUUAGCUGUUUCUUCAGUUGCACCAGCUAGCGCUCACUAGGGUUGCUUAGCUGUAAGCCCGAGGUUUCGUGGGCAUGGCUUGCGGCCACAUGGGUCUUCUCCGUGCCGGAAUCGAAGAGGACGGGCCACGUAUUGCGGGUUGGCGGCGUAUAGCUUCAGGUUUUAGCUGACAUAAGGCUUAGCUCGCACUGCACAGGCUACAGCUGAUAGCCGUCCUCUACGAGUGCGUCAGGGACAUGGACCCUUCCGAAUGGCCUUGCAACCCGACCCCACUAUUUCGUGACAAGGUAGCCCGGGCGCGUCAGUGCUAUCGAGCGAAAUGUGGAAUCACGGAAGCAAACGCCAUUCGGAAAUUGCCUCGCCAGCUUUUAGCUAUUGCGGCGACCUUACGUCGCCCACGGUCUGGAGCGAAGCCCGGCCGUGCAGCAGCUACGGUGAGUGGUCCAUUUCUUUGCGGUUCCAGCUGUUCUUUUCUGGUUGUUUACUUUUCUCCUUGCGUCGCAGAUGAUGACCUUGAUCACCAGUCGUGUCGUCACCGACCGUCUUAACUCUUUUGCAUUCCCUCGUCGGGGAUGUGUGGCUGGUGGACUCGACUUCGUUCCUCGUCCGGCACUACUCCUGGUUCCUACCGUCUGCUUCUGAAGUGCGCCAACUGUAGCGGCCUUCACGCAGCCUCGUCGAAAGACUGUCCCCGCAUCAAGAGGGAGCGCGCGGUUCUGAAGUAAAUGGCCAGACAAUACGGCCCACAGGGAGGCAGCAGAAGUCCGGCGUCGACGUUGACGCAUCGUACGUCUUCAAAGAAGGCGCAUGCGCGAAGAGAUAGUACCCGCUCCGCUACGGUACCACUUAGUCGCGCCGCGAAAGGGCCCAACACUCCCACGAGGGAAUCAGAUAAGACUCUUUAAUUCUUUUGAGGAAUGGCCUACGAUACCGAGCCGCUCCCUUGCUAAGGAACCUCAGAAGGUCGCGGCCCCACCGGAGCUUUCUCCGGCCAUUGAUGAGUCACCUAAGACAGAUCGUCAAGUCAUCUCGGUGCUACGUUCCCUCAUGGAGGCCAUCCGAACGAUUUUAGUGGACAUGGGGACACCGUCAUCUCGAAGCGCAAUUAAAGUGCUGGACGCCUUAAGCCCAGUGCUCGAAACCCUCAACUAGAAAAAUGGCUGUCCAUACCCCAUCCUUCCGAAAAGAAGUCAAGGCAGCGUCCGUCAUCCAGUGGAACGCCAGAGGGCUAAGAUCACGAAUUUCAGAUUUCCGUCAGUAUGUGUACACCAAUGUGUUUCUACUCAUCGUCAUUUGUGAGCCCAACUUGUCGAAACCAAUCACUGUCAGGAUACGAAUUUAUGUCAUCAACAAAUAGUGCAUGCAGCAAAAUCAGUUUUUUUUUCGUCGUGAACUCGCCUAUGUUUUGCAACCA